rnacentral:rRNA from 1 species
GACGAACGCUGGCGGCGUGCCUAAUACAUGCAAGUCGAGCGAACAGACGAGGAUCUUGCUCCUCUGACGUUAGCGGCGGACGGGUGAGUAACACGUGGAUAACCUACCUAUAAGCCUGGGAUAACUUCGGGAAACCGGAGCUAAUACCGGAUAAUCUAUUGAACCGCAUGGUUCAAUAGUGAAAGACGGUCUUUCUGUUACUUAUAGAUGGAUCCGCGCCGCAUUAGCUAGUUGGUAAGGUAACGGCUUACCAAGGCAACGAUGCGUAGCCGACCUGAGAGGGUGAUCGGCCACACUGGAACUGAGACACGGUCCAGACUCCUACGGGAGGCAGCAGUAGGGAAUCUUCCGCAAUGGGCGAAAGCUUGACGGAGCAACGCCGCGUGAGUGAUGAAGGUCUUCGGAUCGUAAAACUCUGUUAUUAGGGAAGAACAAAUGUGUAAGUAACUAUGCACGUCUUGACGGUACCUAAUCAGAAAGCCACGGCUAACUACGUG